UCGUCACACUAUCAUUAACUGAAUCCAUAGGUUAAUGAGGCGAACCGGGGGAACUGAAACAUCUAAGUACCCCGAGGAAAAGAAAUCAACCGAGAUUCCCCCAGUAGCGGCGAGCGAACGGGGAGGAGCCCAGAGCCUGAAUCAGCAUGUGUGUUAGUGGAAGCGUCUGGAAAGGCGCGCGAUACAGGGUGACAGCCCCGUACACAAAAGCGCAUGUGCUGUGAGCUCGAUGAGUAGGGCGGGACACGUGGUAUCCUGUCUGAAUAUGGGGGGACCAUCCUCCAAGGCUAAAUACUCCUGACUGACCGAUAGUGAACCAGUACCGUGAGGGAAAGGCGAAAAGAACCCCGGCGAGGGGAGUGAAAAAGAACCUGAAACCGUGUACGUACAAGCAGUGGGAGCCCCACCACCAAAGCAUUUGCUGUACCGCGUUGACGGAGCGAAGCGACGUCAAACCGAUAAAACAGCAGUGUAAAGUGAGCCGCAGGGCGCUUUGCGCGACAGCGCAAAGGCAGGCGGUUUCGCG
rnacentral:rRNA from 1 species